UAAUACGUAGGGUUCAAACGUUGUCCGGAUUUACUGGGCGUAAAGAGCGCGUAGGCGGUUUGUUAAGUCUCAUGUGAAAUCUCCCGGCUCAACUGGGAGGGGUCAUGGGAAACUGACAGGCUUGAGGGUAGCAGAGGAAAGCGGAAUUCCCGGAGUAGUGGUGAAACGCGUAGAUACCGGGAGGAACACCAGAGGCGAAGGCGGCUUUCUGGGCUAUUCCUGACGCUGAGGCGCGAAAGCGUGGGGAGCAAACCGGAUUAGAUACCCGGGUAGUCCACGCCCUAAACGAUGGAUACUAGAUAUGGGGGGUAUCGACCCCUCCCGUGUCGCAGCUAACGCAUUAAGUAUCCCGCCUGAGGAGUACGGCCGCAAGGCUA
rnacentral:rRNA from 1 species